GUACCCCAUCUUUGGCAGGUCCUACACUAACAACCUAAUGUCUGCUCUUAUGAGAUAUUUUCCCCAAGUAGGUUAAUCUCAUAAGAGCAGACAUUAGGUUGUUAGUGUAGGACCUGCCAAAGAUGGGGUACAUUGACG